rnacentral:rRNA from 1 species
GGGCAGCGAGCGAGAUAGCAAUAUCUUGUGUCGGCGACCGGCGCACUGGUGAGUAACACGUAUGCAACCUGCCCUCUACAGGGGGAUAAUCCGGAGAAAUUCGGUCUAAUAUCCCAUAGUCCCUGAGCUUGCAUGAGCUUAGGGGGAAAGUUCCGGCGGUAGAGGAUGGGCAUGCGGCGCAUUAGCUGGUUGGCGGGGUAACGGCCCACCAAGGCGACGAUGCGUAGGGGUUCUGAGAGGAAGGUCCCCCACACUGGUACUGAGACACGGACCAGACUCCUACGGGAGGCAGCAGUGAGGAAUAUUGGUCAAUGGGCGCGAGCCUGAACCAGCCAAGUCGCGUGAGGGACGACGGUCCUACGGAUUGUAAACCUCUUUAGGCGGGGAGUAAUGUGCUCUACGAGUAGAGUAGUGAGAGUACCCGCAGAAUAAGC